rnacentral:rRNA from 1 species
AAUCUUCCGCAAUGGACGCAAGUCUGACGGAGCAACGCCGCGCGAGUGAUGAAGGUCUUCUGAUCGUAAAACUCUGCUGUUAGGGUAGAACAAGUCUCGGUAACACUGCCGGUACCUUGACGGUACCUGACGAUAAAUCUACCGCCACCUACGUGCCAGCAGCCGCGGUAGUACGUAGGUGGCAAGCGUUGUCCGGAUUUUUAGGGCGUAAAGCGCGCGCAGGCGGUCUUUUAAGUCUGAUGUGAAAUCUUACAGCUUAACUGUAAGCGGUCAUUGGAAACUGGGAGACUUGAGUGCAGAAGAGGAGAGUGGAAUUCCAUGUGUAGCGGUGAAAUGCGUAGAGAUAUGGAGGAACACCAGUGGCGAAGGCGACUCUCUGGUCUGUAACUGACGCUGAGGCGCGAAAGCGUGGGGAUCAAACA